GGGUUGUGAGGUUAAGCGACUAAGCGUACACGGUGGAUGCCCUGGCAGUCAGAGGCGAUGAAGGACGUGCUAAUCUGCGAAAAGCGUCGGUAAGGUGAUAUGAACCGUUAUAACCGGCGAUGUCCGAAUGGGGAAACCCAGUGCAAUUCGUUGCACUAUCGUUAACUGAAUACAUAGGUUAACGAGGCGAACCGGGGGAACUGAAACAUCUAAGUACCCCGAGGAAAAGAAAUCAACCGAGAUUCCCCCAGUAGCGGCGAGCGAACGGGGAGCAGCCCAGAGUCUGAAUCAGCUUGUGUGUUAGUGGAACGGUCUGGAAAGUCCGACGGUACAGGGUGAUAGUCCCGUACACCAAAAUGCACAGGUUGUGAACUCGAAGAGUAGGGCGGGACACGUGGUAUCCUGUCUGAAUAUGGGGACCAUCCUCCAAGGCUAAAUACUCCUGACUGACCGAUAGUGAACCAGUACCGUGAGGGAAAGGCGAAAAGAACCCCGGCGAGGGGAGUGAAAAGAACCUGAAACCGUGUACGUACAAGCAGUGGGAGCACCUUCGGGUGUGACUGCGUACCUUUUGUAUAAUGGGUCAGCGACUUAUAUUCUGUAGCAAGGUUAACCGUAUAGGGGAGCCGCAGGGAAACCGAGUCUUAACUGGGCGUUAAGUUGCAGGGUAUAGACCCGAAACCCGGUGAUCUAGCCAUGGGCAGGUUGAAGGUUGGGUAACACUAACUGGAGGACCGAACCGACUAAUGUUGAAAAAUUAGCGGAUGACUUGUGGCUGGGGGUGAAAGGCCAAUCAAACCGGGAGAUAGCUGGUUCUCCCCGAAAGCUAUUUAGGUAGCGCCUCGUGAACUCAUCUUCGGGGGUAGAGCACUGUUUCGGCUAGGGGGUCAUCCCGACUUACCAACCCGAUGCAAACUACGAAUACCGAAGAAUGUUAUCACGGGAGACACACGGCGGGUGCUAACGUCCGUCGUGAAGAGGGAAACAACCCAGACCGCCAGCUAAGGUCCCAAAGUCAUGGUUAAGUGGGAAACGAUGUGGGAAGGCACAGACAGCCGGAUGUUGGCUUAGAAGCAGCCAUCAUUUAAAGAAAGCGUAAUAGCUCACUGGUCGAGUCGGCCUGCGCGGAAGAUGUAACGGGGCUAAACCAUGCACCGAAGCUGCGGCAGCGACACUAUGUGUUGUUGGGUAGGGGAGCGUUCUGUAAGCCUGCGAAGGUGUGCUGUGAGGCAUGCUGGAGGUAUCAGAAGUGCGAAUGCUGACAUAAGUAACGAUAAAGCGGGUGAAAAGCCCGCUCGCCGGAAGACCAAGGGUUCCUGUCCAACGUUAAUCGGGGCAGGGUGAGUCGACCCCCUAAGGCGAGGCCGAAAGGCGUAGUCGAUGGGAAACAGGUUAAUAUUCCUGUACUUGGUGUUACUGCGAAGGGGGGACGGAGAAGGCUAUGUUAGCCGGGCGACGGUUGUCCCGGUUUAAGCAUGUAGGCUGGUUAUCCAGGCAAAUCCGGAUAAUCAAGGCUGAGGUGUGAUGACGAGGCACUACGGUGCUGAAGUAACAAAUGCCCUGCUUCCAGGAAAAGCCUCUAAGCAUCAGGUAACAUCAAAUCGUACCCCAAACCGACACAGGUGGUCAGGUAGAGAAUACCAAGGCGCUUGAGAGAACUCGGGUGAAGGAACUAGGCAAAAUGGUGCCGUAACUUCGGGAGAAGGCACGCUGGUGUGUAGGUGAAGUCCCUGCGGAUGGAGCUGAGACCAGUCGAAGAUACCAGCUGGCUGCAACUGUUUAUUAAAAACACAGCACUGUGCAAACACGAAAGUGGACGUAUACGGUGUGACGCCUGCCCGGUGCCGGAAGGUUAAUUGAUGGGGUUAUCCGUAAGGAGAAGCUCUUGAUCGAAGCCCGGUAAACGGCGGCCGUAACUAUAACGGUCCUAAGGUAGCGAAAUUCCUUGUCGGGUAAGUUCCGACCUGCACGAAUGGCGUAAUGAUGGCGAGGCUGUCUCCACCCGAGACUCAGUGAAAUUGAACUCGCUGUGAAGAUGCAGUGUACCCGCGGCAAGACGGAAAGACCCCGUGAACCUUUACUAUAGCUUGACACUGAACAUUGAGCCUUGAUGUGUAGGAUAGGUGGGAGGCUUUGAAGCGUGGACGCCAGUCUGCGUGGAGCCAACCUUGAAAUACCACCCUUUAAUGUUUGAUGUUCUAACGUUGGCCCCUGACCGGGGUUGCGGACAGUGUCUGGUGGGUAGUUUGACUGGGGCGGUCUCCUCCCAAAGCGUAACGGAGGAGCACGAAGGUUAGCUAAUCCUGGUCGGACAUCAGGAGGUUAGUGCAAUGGCAUAAGCUAGCUUGACUGCGAGCGUGACGGCGCGAGCAGGUGCGAAAGCAGGUCAUAGUGAUCCGGUGGUUCUGAAUGGAAGGGCCAUCGCUCAACGGAUAAAAGGUACUCCGGGGAUAACAGGCUGAUACCGCCCAAGAGUUCAUAUCGACGGCGGUGUUUGGCACCUCGAUGUCGGCUCAUCACAUCCUGGGGCUGAAGUAGGUCCCAAGGGUAUGGCUGUUCGCCAUUUAAAGUGGUACGCGAGCUGGGUUUAGAACGUCGUGAGACAGUUCGGUCCCUAUCUGCCGUGGGCGCUGGAGAAUUGAGGGGGGCUGCUCCUAGUACGAGAGGACCGGAGUGGACGCAUCACUGGUGUUCGGGUUGUCAUGCCAAUGGCACUGCCCGGUAGCUAAAUGCGGAAGAGAUAAGUGCUGAAAGCAUCUAAGCACGAAACUUGCCCCGAGAUGAGUUCUCCCUGAGACUAUAAGUCUCCUGAAGGAACGUUAAAGACGAUGACGUUGAUAGGCCGGGUGUGUAAGCGCAGCGAUGCGUUGAGCUAACCGGUACUAAUGAACCGUGAGGCUUAACCUUACAACGCCGAAG
rnacentral:rRNA from 1 species